rnacentral:rRNA from 1 species
AGCGAACGCUGGCGGCAGGCCUAACACAUGCAAGUCGAACGGAUCCUUCGGGAUUAGUGGCGGACGGGUGAGUAACACGUGGGAACGUGCCCUUUGGUUCGGAACAACUCAGGGAAACUUGAGCUAAUACCGGAUGUGCCCUUCGGGGGAAAGAUUUAUCGCCAUUGGAGCGGCCCGCGUCUGAUUAGCUAGUUGGUGAGGUAAAGGCUCACCAAGGCGACGAUCAGUAGCUGGUCUGAGAGGAUGAUCAGCCACAUUGGGACUGAGACACGGCCCAGACUCCUACGGGAGGCAGCAGUGGGGAAUAUUGGACAAUGGGCGAAAGCCUGAUCCAGCAAUGCCGCGUGAGUGAUGAAGGCCUUAGGGUUGUAAAGCUCUUUUGUCAGGGAAGAUGAUGACGGUACCUGAAGAAUAAGCACCGGCUAACUUCGUGCCAGCAGCCGCGGU